CUUGACGAUCAUAGAGCGUUGGAACCACCUGAUCCCUUCCCGAACUCAGAAGUGAAACGACGCAUCGCCGAC
rnacentral:rRNA from 1 species